AUUGAACGCUGGCGGCAUGCCUUACACAUGCAAGUCGAACGGUUGAGGUAGCUUGCUACCGAUGCAGCGGCGGACGGGUGAGUAAUACAUGGGAAUCUGCCUGGUAGUGGGGGACAACGUUUCGAAAGGAACGCUAAUACCGCAUACGCCCUACGGGGGAAAGGGGGGGAUCGCAAGACCUCUCGCUAUCAGAUGAGCCC
rnacentral:rRNA from 1 species